rnacentral:rRNA from 1 species
GUGUCAGCAGCCGCGGUAAUACAGAGGGUGCAAGCGUUAAUCGGAAUUACUGGGCGUAAAGCGUGCGUAGACGGUUAUGUAAGUCGGGUGUGAAAGCCCCGGGCUCAACCUGGGAAUUGCAUUCGAGACUGCAUAGCUAGGGUUCGGAAGAGGGAAGCGGAAUUUCCGGUGUAGCGGUGAAAUGCGUAGAUAUCGGAAGGAACACCAGUGGCGAAAGCGGCUUCCUGGUCCAGAACCGACGUUCAGGCACGAAAGCGUGGGGAGCAAACAGGAUUAGAUACCCUUGUAGUCC